rnacentral:miRNA from 1 species
UUAGGGUAGGGGGGAGGCUAGGUUAGCAUACACCCAGCUGACUUGUCUUCCACCCCAG